rnacentral:rRNA from 1 species
AACGAACGCUGGCGGCAUGCCUAACACAUGCAAGUCGAACGAAUUUUCAGCUUCGGUUGGAAGUUAGUGGCGCACGGGUGCGUAACGCGUGGGAAUCUGCCCUUGGGUUCGGAAUAACAGUUAGAAAUGACUGCUAAUACCGGAUGAUGACGAAAGUCCAAAGAUUUAUCGCCCAGGGAUGAGCCCGCGUAGGAUUAGCUAGUUGGUAAGGUAAAAGCUUACCAAGGCGACGAUCCUUAGCUGGUCUGAGAGGAUGAUCAGCCACACUGG